rnacentral:tRNA from 1 species
GAGGAUGUGGCUCAAUGGUAGAGUGUGUGCUUGGGAUGCACGAGGUCCUGGGUUCAAUCCCCAGUACCUUCU